GAGGAAAGAGGGAGGAGGGAAGAAUACAUGUAAGUCGAGCGAACAGAUAAGGAGCUUGAUAAUUUGAAGUUAGAGGAGGAAGGGUGAGUAAAACGUGGGUAAAAUAUAUAUAAGAAUGGAAUAAUUAAGGGAAAACGGGGCUAAUGCCGGAUAACAUGUUGAACCGCAUGGUUCUACAGUGAAAGGCGGCUUUGCUGUCACUUAUAGAUGGACCCGCGCCGUAUUAGCUAGUUGGUGAGGUAACGGCUCAUCAAGGGAAGUAUACGUAGCCGACCUGAGAGGGUGAUCGGCCACACUGGAACUGAGACACGGUCCAGACUCCUACGGGAGGCAGCAGUAGGGAAUCUUCCGCAAUGGGCGAAAGCCUGACGGAGCAACGCCGCGUGAGUGAUGAAGGUCUUCGGAUCGUAAAACUCUGUUAUUAUGGAAGAACAAAUGCGUAAGUAACUGUGCGCGUCUUGACGGUACCUAAUCAGAAAGCCCCGGCUCCCUACGUU
rnacentral:rRNA from 1 species